rnacentral:rRNA from 1 species
GACGGAACUCUUCGGAGGGAAGGCAGCGGAAUGAGCGGCGGACGGGUGAGUAACACGUAAGGAACCUGCCUCAAGGAUUGGGAUAACUCCGAGAAAUCGGAGCUAAUACCGGAUAGUUCAUCGGACCGCAUGGUCCGUUGAUGAAAGGCGCUCCGGCGUCACCUUGAGAUGGCCUUGCGGUGCAUUAGCUAGUUGGUGGGGUAACGGCCCACCAAGGCGACGAUGCAUAGCCGACCUGAGAGGGUGAUCGGCCACACUGGGACUGAGACACGGCCCAGACUCCUACGGGAGGCAGCAGUAGGGAAUCUUCCACAAUGGACGAAAGUCUGAUGGAGCAACGCCGCGUGAGUGAUGAAGGUUUUCGGAUCGUAAAACUCUGUUGUAAGGGAAGAACACGUACGAGAGGAAAUGCUCGUACCUUGACGGUACCUUACGAGAAAGCCACGGCUAACUACGUGCCAGCAGCCGCGGUAAUACGUAGGUGGCAAGCGUUGUCCGGAAUUAUUGGGCGUAAAGCGCGCGCAGGCGGCCUUUUAAGUCUGAUGUGAAAGCCCCCGGCUCAACCGGGGAGGGCCAUUGGAAACUGGAAGGCUUGAGUACAGAAGAGAAGAGUGGAAUUCCACGUGUAGCGGUGAAAUGCGUAGAGAUGUGGAGGAACACCAGUGGCGAAGGCGACUCUUUGGUCUGUAACUGACGCUGAGGCGCGAAAGCGUGCGGAGCAAACAGGAUUAUAUACCCUGGUAGUCCACGCCGUAAACGAUGAGUGCUAGGUGUUGGGGGGUUUCCGCCCCCUCACUGCUGAAGCUAACACAUUAGGCACUCCGCCUGGGGGAGUACUGCC